AAUGAACGUUGGCGGCGUGGAUUAGGCAUGCAAGUCGUACGGGUCGGUGUAGCAAUACAACGGCAAGUGGCGAAAGGGAGAGUAACACGUAGAUACCUACCCUCUGGUCGGGGAUACCGCGGCAUAACCGCAAGUAAUAACCGAUAAAAUCUCCGGAUCAAAGGUGUGAUUCCGCCGGAGGAGGGGUCUGCGUUCUAUCAGCUUGUUGGUGAGGUAAUGGCUCACCAAGGCUAAGACGGAUACGGGGUGUGAGAGCAUGCCCCCGCUCACUGGGACUGAGGCACUGCCCAGAAACCUACGAGUGGCUGCAGUCGAGAAUCUUCGGCAAUGGGCGCAAGCCUGACCAAGCGACGCCGCGUGCGGGAUGAAGGCCUUCGGGUUGUAAACCGCUGUCGAGGGGAAUGAAGUGUAGGUGGGUACUCCCAUCUAUUUGACAGAUCCCUGGAGGAAGCAUGGGCUAAGUUCGUGCCAGCAGCCGCGGUAACAC
rnacentral:rRNA from 1 species